UAGGGAAUCUUCGGCAAUGGACGAAAAGUCUGACCGAGCAACGCCGCGUGAGUGAAGAAGGUUUUUCGGAUCGUAAAACUCUGUUGGUAGAGAAGAACGUUGGUGAGAGUGGAAAGCUCAUCAAGUGACGGUAACUACCCAGAAAGGGACGGCUAACUACGUGCCAC
rnacentral:rRNA from 1 species